GAUGAACGCUGGCGGCGUGCCUAAUACAUGCAAGUCGAGCGAACAGACGAGAGUGAUUGCACUCUCUGACGUUAGCGGCGGACGGGGGAGUAACACGUGGGUAACCUACCUAUAAGACUGGGAUAACUUCGGGAAACCGGAGCUAAUACCGGAUAAUAUUUAGCUUCGCAUGACGCAAUAGUGAAAGACGGUUCUGCUGUCACUUAUAGAUGGACCCGCGGUGUAUUAGCUAGUUGGUGAGGUAACGGCUCACCAAGGCAACGAUACAUAGCCGACCUGAGAGGGUGAUCGGCCACACUGGGACUGAGACACGGCCCAGACUCCUACGGGAGGCAGCAGUAGGGAAUCUUCCGCAAUGGACGAAAGUCUGACGGAGCAAUGCCGCGUGAGUGAAGAAGGUUUUCGGAUCGUAAAACUCUGUUGUAAGGGAAGAACAAGUACGUUAGUAACUGAACGUACCUUGACGGUACCUUACCAGAAAGCCACGGCUAACUACGUG
rnacentral:rRNA from 1 species